UACAGAGGGUGCAAGCGUUGCUCGGAAUCAUUGGGCGUAAAGGGCAGGUAGGUGGUCUGAUUUGUCUGGCGGUGAAAUCCUUGAGCUUAACUCAAGAAGUGCCCCGGAAACGGUCAGACUUACGAGUCUUGGAGAGGGAUGCAGAAUUCCAGGUGUAGCGGUGAAAUGCGUAGAUAUCUGGAGGAAUACCGGUGGCGAAGGCGGCAUCCUGGACCGGCAUUGACGCUGAGGAGCGACAGCCAGGGGAGCAAACGGG
rnacentral:rRNA from 1 species